GGGACAGCAAAUGGGCAGGAUGUUGCAUGUGGAUGAACAAUGCCCAGGUCUACUUUUAAAGGGAAGUUACGUUGGAAUAACAGAUAAUCACCAAAAGUGUAUUAAAGCAUCCAGUGUAAGUGUCCACGGCAUCAGGAUUCUGAGAAUGAUGAAAAAUACUACAAUAAAACACAUGUAAACUGUCAAAUUUGCAGUGCCUCCACAAACGUCUGCCUUAACUGGCAGCUUGUAGAGGGGGACCGAUAACCUCAACAACAAACUACCAGGUAUGAUGAU